AUGUUUCGGUAAAUCACGGGUUACAUUUGCUUGGUCGUUGGAACUGGUGGUUGGAACGGAUAAUAAUAAUAAUAAUAAUAAUUAGCUGUUAAUCAUAAUUAAAAAGUCAAAACCGUGUAAAUUUACAAGUCCAACCUUCAAAAUGUCGUUUAUUUCAGUUUCUUUGGCGGCAGUCUUCUUCUUCUUCUUCUUUCCUUCACAAUCGAUUUGGCAAUUUCACUUCUCUCUCUCUCUCUCCCUCCCUCCAAACAUUGUGUUGAUUGUUGUUUUGUUGUCUGGUAUGUCCUCUAACCAUGCCUCCACAGAUGAAGCCCAACCCCAAGAAUCAGCAACAGAGGAAAUGGGCUGAACUGUGUUGUUUGGAUUGGUCGUGCAUACAGCUGUUCUGGCCCAGAGUUGUGAUGCGCAAAUGGCUCAACAUCUCCGCCAAAGAGUCCGAUUACAGCGCCGAUACCGAAGACGAAGACGACUGGGAUCCUGACUCCCCAACAAGCCAGCAAGGUUUUGAUCAACGGGGAAGAGGAUCAAGGUUUAAAGAUAUCAAAGAGGAUGAGUCUGAGGAUGAUGAUGACCUUGAUGAUCUUCCUAGAGUACGAAGACGAAAAUCAGAGACCUUUAGAACACAGUAUAUAAAUACAAAGGAACUCAGAAUAUGUGUUGGUACAUGGAAUGUUGGAGGACAGACUCCACCGGAUGACCUGGAUAUUGAUGGUUGGCUAGAUAUCAAUGACCCAGCCGACAUCUAUGUAAUUGGUCUUCAGGAGAUCGUGCCACUCAAUGCUGGGAAUAUAUUUGGCGCUGAAGAUAGCCGGCCAGUUAGUAAGUGGGAAAAUGUCAUUCGUGAAACGCUGGAUAGAUUUCGACCUGCCGGAAACAAGGUUAAAUCCUUUAGUGAUCCUCCAUCACCCUCAAAAUUUAGGCCAUCUGAUGAUGUCCCUUAUACGGAAGAGGAGAUAUUAGAUGAAAGUGAUAGUGAUAUUGGCAAUGAAGUGCAUCCAUUGGAUGACGAACCCAAAGAUUUUGGUGUCAGCAAUGGUACAUCAGUCACAAGCGAAACAGUGAAUGCUGAUGGUCCUGUUUCUAACUUUACUGAUAGUACUAAACCGGGGAUGCCAAUUGGAGAGGAUUUACAGAGGCAACAUUCUUCUCCAAAGAGAUUAGAUAGGUUAUAUUGCCUUCGGCCAGAUAAUUCUCCAUUAGAUGAAGACACUUCUGCUGUCCAACAUAAUGGCAAGUUAACCAAAAUGCUUAGUGGGUCUGAAAGAAUUGGUUUGAACUGGCCGGAGCGUCCAUUGAACUUGCUAUCUCAGCACUUAUUAGAGCGACGAAAUUCCUUUAGACCAACGAAGUCUUUCAAGUCCUCAAAAUCUUUCAGGACACACAAUUCUUUCAAGUUAGCUGCAAAUGACAUGGCACCAGAAUUAGCUUUGCUUGGAGAGAUUGAUCUUGAAUCUCUCAUGAAACGGGAACGAAGAUCAUCAUAUGUAAGGAUAGUAAGUAAGCAGAUGGUUGGGGUUUUCCUAACCGUAUGGGUUCGUAGGAGCUUACGAAAACACAUUCAGAACUUAAAGGUGUCAACUGUUGGUGUUGGUGUUAUGGGAUACAUUGGUAACAAGGGAUCUGUAUCUGUGAGUAUGUCCAUAUAUCAGACGCUGUUUUGUUUCGUGUGCACUCACCUGACAGCAGGUGAAAGGGAGGUAGAUGAAUCAAAAAGAAAUGCUGAUGUGCAUGAAAUUCAUCGGAGAACUCACUUUCAUUCGUUUUCUGGUAUUGGGCUUCCGAAAAGUAUCCAUGACCAUGAAAGAAUAAUUUGGUUGGGUGAUCUAAAUUAUCGUAUCAACUUGUCAUAUGAGAAAACACAAGAUCUUAUCUCCAAAAAGGAGUGGUCCCAGUUGGCUGAGAAGGACCAGCUUGCACGACAAUUGAAAAAAGGUCGUGCAUUUGAUGGAUGGUCUGAGGGUGUUCUAAAUUUCCCGCCAACGUAUAAGUAUGAGAUGAAUUCAGACAAGUAUUAUGGAGAGGAUCCAAAGGGUGGAAGGCGGACUCCAGCAUGGUGUGACCGCAUUCUUUCAUAUGGCCGAGGAAUGAGGUUACUGCAGUAUAGAAGGACUGAACACAAAUUUUCUGAUCAUCGACCAGUGACUGCUACUUAUAUGGCAGAGGUUGAGGUUUUUUCUGCUAGGAGGCUUCAGCGGGCCCUCACAUUCACUGAUGCAGAGAUUGAAAAUGAGGAAAUUGCAACAGAUAUGGGUAUUGAAGUUGGAAUGAACAACUUAAAAUUGGAACAGGGUAUAUCUGAUUGGGAUCGUUAACUGGUUAAGUGAGGCCACCGUAUACGCCACGCGUGGAAGUUCCAGCAAGUACAUAUACAACUUAUAUCAUUCUUUGCUGUGAUCACUUUGUCCAGCACAUAAUAAUGAUAUAUUUUGUCUGGCCAAAAAAAAGAAGAAGAGAAACGUUGAUGUACUUUUCUGAUAGAUUGUAAAUCGUAAAGGGUUGUUUGCGGUCGUGGAGCAUAUUAGUUGUACUCAUCACAUAGUAACGAAGAGUAAGUUUGCUUUAUACAUGUGCUAUAUUGUAUAAUCAAACCUUCUCGAGGAAGCUUUCUGGAAUUGUAAAUAAUAUAUGAGCACAAAUUAUUAAUGGAUCUUUUUAGAUGAUGUUUGGCGUU